rnacentral:rRNA from 1 species
AAUAGAUACCCAGGUAGUCCACGCCGUAAACGAUGGAUACUAGCUGUUUGAGCGCAAGUUUGAGUGGCUAAGCGAAAGUGAUAAGUAUCCCACCUGGGGAGUACGGGCGCAAGCCUGAAACUCAAAGGAAUUGACGGGGGCCCGCACAAGCGGUGGAGCAUGUGGUUUAAUUCGAUGAUACGCGAGGAACCUUACCAGGGCUUAAAUGUAGAUUGACGUAUUUGGAAACAGAUAUUUCUUCGGACAAUUUACAAGGUGCUGCAUGGUUGUCGUCAGCUCGUGCCGUGAGGUGUCAGGUUAAGUCCUAUAACGAGCGCAACCCCUGUUGUUAGUUGCCAGCGAGUAAUGUCGGGAACUCUAGCAAGCUGCCAGUGUAAACUGUGAGGAAGUGGGGAUGACGUCAAAUCAUCACGGCCCUUACGUCCUGGGCCACACACGUGCUACAAUGGCCGGUACAGAGAGCAGCCACUUAGCGAUAAGGAGCGAAUCUAUAAAGCCGGUCACAGUUCGGA